GACGAACGCUGGCGGCGUGCUUAACACAUGCAAGUCGAACGGACAGGCCCUGCUCUUGUGGGGCGCUCGAGUGGCGAACGGGUGAGUAAAACGCGAGUAACAUGCCCCUGACUUUGUGAUAACACUAGGAAACUGGGGCUAAUACCGGAUAGGAGCUCUUGAUGCACGGUGGGGGAUGGAAAGUUCCGGCGGUUGGGGAUGGACUGGCGGCUUAUCGGCUUGUUGGUGGGGUAGUGGAUUACAAAGGUUUUGACGGGUAGCCGGCCUGGGAGGUGGACCGGCCACAAUGGGACUGAGAGACGGACCAGACUGCUACGGGACGCAACAGGGGGGAGUAUGGCAGAGUGGGCGGGAGCCAGAUACGACGGCGCCGCGUGCGUGAUGACGUCCUACGAGUGGUAAACCGCUUUCGCCGGUGACGAGGCGGGAUUGACGGUAAUGGGUAAGAAAGCACCGGCUAACUACGUG
rnacentral:rRNA from 1 species